rnacentral:lncRNA from 1 species
UAAAGGUAUGCAAGGAUAUUUCUGAGAAGACUACUUGCCCAUGUAUGUUAAGAUCGUUUUAAUCUGGAAGGAGAUAUGGAUAACUAUGUUAAAUUCAAGUUAAUGGGAGGUCUGAAAAAA